AUUGAACGCUGGCGGCAGGCCUAACACAUGCAAGUCGAGCGAGCGGCGGACGGGUGAGUAAUGUCUGGGAAACUGCCUGAUGGAGGGGGAUAACUACUGGAAACGGUAGCUAAUACCGCAUACCAUCAGAUGUGCCCAGAUGGGGUUAGCUAGUGGUUGGGGUAACGGCUCACCUAGGCGACGAUCCCUAGCUGGUCUGAGAGGAGGACCAGCCACACUGGAACGGAGACAAGGUCCAGACUCCUACGGGAGGCAGCAGGGGGGAAUAUUGCACAAGGGGAGCAAGCCUGAUGCAGACAUGCCGCGUGGGUGAAGAAGGCCUUCGGGUUGGAAAGCACUUUCAGCGGGGAGGCGUUACCCGCAGAAGAAGCACCGGCUAACUCCGUGCCAGCAGCCGCGGUAAUAC
rnacentral:rRNA from 1 species